UGCUAGCUUGCUAGAACCUACACACAGGUGCUGCACGGGCUGUCGUCAGCUCGUGUCGUGAGAUGUUGGGUUAAGUCCCGCAACGAGCGCAACCCUCGUCCUUAGUUGCUAACAGUUCGGCUGAGCACUCUAGGGAGACUGCCUUCGCAAGGAGGAGGAAGGUGAGGACGACGUCAAGUCAUCAUGGCCCUUACGGCCAGGGCUACACACGUGCUACAAUGGGGCGUACAGAGAGCUGCCAAGCCGCGAGGUGGAGCAAAUCCCAAAAAACCGGUCUCAGUUCGGAUUGGAGUCUGCAACUCGACUCCAUGAAGUUGGAAUCGCUAGUAAUCGCGUAUCAGCAUGACGCGGUGAAUACGUUCCCGGGCCUU
rnacentral:rRNA from 1 species